GCUGGGUGGAUUAGUGGCGAACGGGUGAGUAACACGUGAGUAACCUGCCCUUAACUCUGGGAUAAGCCUGGGAAACUGGGUCUAAUACCGGAUAGGAGCGCCUACCGCAUGGUGGGUGUUGGAAAGAUUUAUCGGUUUUGGAUGGACUCGCGGCCUAUCAGCUUGUUGGUGAGGUAAUGGCUCACCAAGGCGACGACGGGUAGCCGGCCUGAGAGGGUGACCGGCCACACUGGGACUGAGACACGGCCCAGACUCCUACGGGAGGCAGCAGUGGGGAAUAUUGCACAAUGGGCGCAAGCCUGAUGCAGCGACGCCGCGUGAGGGAUGACGGCCUUCGGGUUGUAAACCUCUUUCAGUAGGGAAGAAGCGAAAGUGACGGUACCUGCAGAAGAAGCACCGGCUAACUACGUGCCAGCAGCCGCGGUAAUACGUAGGGUGCGAGCGUUAUCCGGAAUUAUUGGGCGUAAAGAGCUCGUAGGCGGUUUGUCGCGUCUGUCGUGAAAGUCCGGGGCUUAACCCCGGAUCUGCGGUGGGUACGGGCAGACUAGAGUGCAGUAGGGGAGACUGGAAUUCCUGGUGUAGCGGUGGAAUGCGCAGAUAUCAGGAGGAACACCGAUGGCGAAGGCAGGUCUCUGGGCUGUAACUGACGCUGAGGAGCGAAAGCAUGGGGAGCGAACAGGAUUAGAUACCCUGGUAGUCCAUGCCGUAAACGUUGGGCACUAGGUGUGGGGACCAUUCCACGGUUUCCGCGCCGCAGCUAACGCAUUAAGUGCCCCGCCUGGGGAGUACGGCCGCAAGGCUAAAACUCAAAGGAAUUGACGGGGGCCCGCACAAGCGGCGGAGCAUGCGGAUUAAUUCGAUGCAACGCGAAGAACCUUACCAAGGCUUGACAUGUUCUCGAUCGCCGUAGAGAUACGGUUUCCCCUUUGGGGCGGGUUCACAGGUGGUGCAUGGUUGUCGUCAGCUCGUGUCGUGAGAUGUUGGGUUAAGUCCCGCAACGAGCGCAACCCUCGUUCCAUGUUGCCAGCACGUAAUGGUGGGGACUCAUGGGAGACUGCCGGGGUCAACUCGGAG
rnacentral:rRNA from 1 species